rnacentral:rRNA from 1 species
UGAAGGGAAGGUAGUCCCAGUACGAGAGGAACAGACUGCCGUGGCCUCUGGUGUGCCGGUUGUCUGAUAAGGCAUCGCCGGGUAGCUACGCCAUAGUUAAUAAGGGCUGAAAGCAUCUAAGCCCGAAAUAAUCCCUGAAAAUA